rnacentral:rRNA from 1 species
GACGAACGCUGGCGGCGUGCCUAAUACAUGCAAGUAGAACGCACAGUUUAUGCCGUAGCUUGCUACACCAUAGACUGUGAGUUGCGAACGGGUGAGUAACGCGUAGGUAACCUGCCUGGUAGCGGGGGAUAACUAUUGGAAACGAUAGCUAAUACCGCAUAAUAUUAAUUAUUGCAUGAUAAUUAAUUGAAAGGUGCAAUUGCACCACUACCAGAUGGACCUGCGUUGUAUUAGCUAGUAGGUGAGGUAACGGCUCACCUAGGCGACGAUACAUAGCCGACCUGAGAGGGUGAUCGGCCACACUGGGACUGAGACACGGCCCAGACUCCUACGGGAGGCAGCAGUAGGGAAUCUUCGGCAAUGGACGAAAGUCUGACCGAGCAACGCCGCGUGAGUGAAGAAGGUUUUCGGAUCGUAAAGCUCUGUUGUAAGAGAAGAACGGGUGUGAGAGUGGAAAGUUCACACUGUGACGGUAUCUUACCAGAAAGGGACGGCUAACUACGUG